rfam:Schistosoma curassoni strain Dakar, Senegal genome assembly, scaffold: SCTD_scaffold0009672
GCACUGCUGAAGAGUCCGAAAAUAGGACGAAACGGCCGUCCAGUGC